GUCAUUUCUUUGUUAAUUCUAUCCAUGCUCUUCUCCAUUAAACAAAAGCAGUUCGUUUGGUGUAUUUAUACUUAAAACACAUUUAUGACUGAGGAUUUCUGCUUUUAAAGUAUGUGAAAAAGAAUUCUUCCCCACCUCUCUUCACAAAUAUAUAUUCUGACACUUUCUUCUGUUGAUUUUAUCUUUCAUUAAUCUAUCUGGAUUCUAUUUUUAUGUGUGAUGUUAUUAAGGGAUACAAUUUUCUUUUCUCCCUAACAUUAUGUACCAGAUUUGAUUUGUGCUGCUGGAUUUCUAUAUUUGUGUGCUUAGUGGCCCAGUCAUGAUUGACUCUUUGUGACCCCAUGGGCUGUAGCCUGCCAGGCUCCUCUGUCCAUGGGGCUUCUCCAGGCAAGAAUACGGGAGUGGGUUGCCAUGCCCUCCUCCAGGGGAAUCUUCCUGCUAGAGAGAUGGGACCCAGGUCUCCUGCAUUGCAAGCAGAUUCUUUACUGACUGAGCCACCGGAGAAGCCCAUUUCUAUAUUUAUCGUAUAUUAAAUUCUCCAUCCAUACAUGGUCUUCUCUGAGUUCACUCUUUGGUUCCAUUGGCCUAUUUGCCCAUCUGUCGUUAUAUCAAUACCUGCUUACUGUAUUAGUAUAUGUUAGGACGGGCAGUCGACCAUGGUCAGUGAGCAGCCCUGAGCACUACUCACGAGUGUGCCAAACUCUGCAUGUUUGGCAAGCUAAGUCACGUCUGUCGUGUCCGACUCUUUGCGACCCUAUGGACUGUAGUCCGCCAGGCUCCUUUGCCCAGGGGAUUCUCCAGGCAAGAAUACUGGAGUGGGUGGCCAUGUCCUCCUCCAGGGGCUCUUCCCGACCAAGUCAUCAAGCCGUGUCUCGUGUCUGCUGCAUUGGCAGGUGGAUUCUUUGCCACUCGCAGCAGCUGGGAAGCCCUGUGUCAGCCUGUGUGGCUUAUUAAUUCCCAAACUGAGCACUCUCUAUAGCUGGUCACAUGGGCAACCAAGGGGGCACCCAAGGAGGUACCUGCCCGUAGCAUGCUGCUCCACACUCUCCAGUGCGGGAGAUGGGGAAGAGAGAGAGAGGCUGUCUUGUUUCCAUUGUGACAGAAGGUGCCAUAACCACUUGGGUGGGGCUGUUUGGACCACUGUAAUGCAUCAUUUUUAUUGCUCCUACUGGUAAAUGUAUAAUCAGUACUGAUGGUUUGCAUGCUUGUGCCAUGAACUGUCAUGAAAUUCAAGGGGGAGUCGUCCCAAAGGAAAGGCUCACUUUUAGAGAAAUGAUUGUUGACACAGCAGACCACCAAUGAGGCUUCCAGUUGUCCAGUGUUGUACUGAUACAAGAGAAAUGAUACAGAAUUCCAGGAAGUGAAAAGGAAACCACAGUCUUGGGGUCUGUAAACCCCUAGGACCCUUUGGAACUACAAGUAUCUGCUGUUGAUAAUGUGCUGACUGGAACUAAUAUUGGAGCAAGGUUUUUAAGAAGAAUGAAGAAAUAUGAGAUCAGCAAACCACAUUUGACUUACUGGCUGGCAUUUGGUGCACAAAUCACCACAACCUGUACAUGGAGGGAAAGUCCUUUGGAAAGAAAUUCAUUUCCGUCACUGCUCUCUCUCUCCUAGCUGGGCUCUGGCACUUCCUGGGAAUCUUCGCAUUUUAUCAUCUCAAAGAUGUCGGCCCUGACUCAUAGACUGUACCGCGAAUUCCAUCUCAGCGUCAGUUUUAGAGAAUCCAGCCUAGGAUGCUGGUAACCCAGGAUGGUACUAAGAUGCAGUUGGUCUGCAGGGAGGUCUGGAGCUGGCUUGCUCACUCUCUGGUCAGCCAGAAGAGCCCUUCACUGCAGGGAAGAGGCGCUAAACGACCCUGAAGGUAAAAUAAUGGGCGAGUGGACGUUAGCCAUGAGCAUGUCUGUGAUGAGGCUUGGUGGCCAGGAAGGCGGGCAUGCAUGGUCCCUUCAACAUGGACACCCACUCCCCAAGGCUGAUUUCCACCAUUGCCAACUGUUGAGCCUGCUGCCGCAGAGAUUCACGCUGAGAUUCCACAGUGGCCCCAUCCCUCAAGGAGACCAGCUGGACACUUAACGGUGGAUUCUUUACUGUCUGAGCCACCAGGGAAUGCCUAAGCAAUCAAGGAACUUAAGACUUUGAGGAGAGUUUGGACAAGCAAGUAUGAUUUCUGCGAAGUGAAAGAGAAGAUAUGGGUGUCGUAGGAGCACCCACCAGAGUGGAAUUAAUUCAGCAAUUACAGCUUCUACGAAAAGGACAAUCAGAACAUUAUUAUUCAUAACAAAGAUCCACCUUCGUUUGCACAGUGCCUUUUAUGAGGUGUGACCAUAAUGUAAUAGAGUGGUUUUUUUAAAAAACAAACGUAACAAAUUAUAUUACAGGGAAUCUCAGUGUUGGAAAGGAUAUUAAAGGCCAUACUGUUCAACU
ensembl:lncRNA